AUGCUUUCUGUGACUUUCUUUAUGAAUCGUUUAUGGGAAUUUUGAUAAGGGCAAUUUAAAAAUCCGCACAUAUGUCGUCACAUUACUCUGGGUGCCUGAAAGGGUGGAGAAUGCGGACAUAUGGAGGCCUAACC
rnacentral:sRNA from 1 species